UACGAAGGGGGCUAGCGUUGUUCGGAAUUACUGGGCGUAAAGCGUGCGCAGGCGGCCAUUCAAGUCAGGGGUGAAAGCCCAGAGCUCAACUCUGGAACUGCCCUUGAAACUGUAUGGCUUGAGGAUGAGAGAGGUGAGUGGAAUUCCCAGUGUAGAGGUGAAAUUCGUAGAUAUCAAGCGGAACACCGGUGGCGAAGGCGGCCUUCUGGACAGUGACUGACGCUGAGGCGCGAGAGCGUGGGGAGCAAACCGG
rnacentral:rRNA from 1 species